ACUGCGCCACCAGGGAAGCCCUAAAGUAUUUUUUUAAUUGAGUUCUGCUCAUGAUCAGUGAUACAGAACACCUAUGUGAACUACGAGUUCAAACAAGAAGCCCAAUAAAAUAGAAGAUGUCAGACACUUACCACCACUAAUUUUCCGUCUUCCACUUUUCUUGUUAUUAUGCUUUCCUUUCCAUCCCAUUCCUGACGUUGAACCAAUGCGCCAUCUGUAAAGUUGCAGACAGUCUGCCAAAAUAAAGUAUAUUUCUUAAUCUU